UUUUGUUAAGAUGAUUACUACGAGUACGAGAACAGCUAACUCAACUUUAUUGCUUUAUUUCUUUUUAAAUUGUUCAGUAAUAAGUACAUUUUUAAGCAUUCAUUACUCAAGACUGUGUAAGCGUAGAAAACCGUGUUGUUUAGUGUCCCUUUCGUAUUGGCAUUACGAUCAUACAAUACGCAGCUGAACAAUUGAACGACGAAGCUUUUCAUAUUCUUGGUGAAUUUGAAAGAAAAAAGCUUUCGAGCAAGUAAUAAAAAUACCUGAUGAAAUGGUUGGAAUCAACAUGGCUUCUUUUACAUAGCUCAUUUGCCAAUUCACAAAUAAAA